GGUUUAAUAGUCAAGUAUGAUUUUAAAUUGCAAAUUUAAAGGUAAACACAAUUUACGUUUUUAAACCU
rnacentral:tRNA from 1 species